CUGUGACGUCACCGCGAGGUGUGCGGCGUGCGUGGUAAUGGCCCGCUCAUCAAAAUCAUUCGCAAUCGGAGGUAUCGGCGUUGUACGUUUAGUUUCAGAAUUGCUGUUUGUCCGUAUAACGUCACGCUUCGUCUCGAGCGUCUCUGCGUAAUGUAUACAUACAAAGGUCGCGCGAGUCACCGUGCGACAAUCGUUGCGCCGCAUUGUCCUUCCGAACUCCGAAGAUGGCGAGGGGAUCGAGGAGACGGUACGCGAAGCGCGACUAUUUUCUACGAUGAGAGAUUACCGAUUCGCUCCAUUUAAUUACUUUCACUUGUAUGUACGAUUAUACAAUUUGCUCGCAUAAGCGUCUCGCGGGACGGAGAUUAUCUUUCGAAGCAGAUUUCACACGUAUGUAAAGACAUCAUAGCCGACCGAAGUGAAAAACUUGCCGUCCCGUUGCGAUAUUUACGGUAAAUGCAAUAUUUAAGAUAAAAAAAUCACUUGCGCGAAUCUUUCAUCGAUUUAAAUAUUAUUUCCGAAACGCAUACCGCCGAAUCGAAUAAUCCGUGAAACAGGAAGCUAUGAUAUAUCGAUCGCAUUAUAUUAUUAAUAUCUCUAUAGCGUGUAUUUCGCUGGUAAUGUUAAAAUUGCGCGUUGCCUGCAAUUUUAACACCGGCAAUUUUAACGGGAGUGCCGCGCGAUUUUCGCGUUGAAUAGUGCGCAAUUCGUAAUUAGCCGCAUUUUCGCGAGUGUAUUAUGCAGUACGUGUGCAAAACGACGAAAGCUGAGAGGAGCUGUGGGAGGCAUCGGCCGACAGUGGAGCAAUCCAGAGAGGAAUCGACGUAGUGGCGAUAAUACGUUGCUGCAUCGUAUCGAUGAGUCUGAAAUUAUUUUCAAUUGGGAUAAAAAGUUGACGUCAACCCUGUACCCUACACCCGGGCGGCGAUACGAAAACAGGCAGACGACCUGUCUAAUUAAUGAGCAGCAUUGACUAAGAGACACUCGUCUUCUUGCCGAAAAAAGAACAAGAUCAAGAUCAAAAAAGAUGUAUAGACUCUCUGAUAUCAGUUGAGUCACAGAAGGUUUCUUGUUUAACGCAAGAGGAUCAUCUAUCAAGAGGAUCUCUCAAGAGGAUCACAUCUCUACCGGUACGCUUACCAGCAGUACAUGCAUUAUCAUACGCUUAUAUACACGUGGCAUUUACUCACUGUUGAUAAAAAGGUAUCUGUAAUAUUGUCCCAAGAAUUAACUACGAUUCCAAAUCGCAUCUAAUGGAAAAUUAUCAUUAAACACAAGUAUAUAUGUAAACUUUACUUAUAACAUCAUUAAUCGAAAAGUUUUCAUCUAAAUAAAUCUAACGAGAAUUCAAAAAUCCUCCUUAGAAACAGCUUUCAAGUACGUAUAAUAUGCGUAUAUGCGAAAUCAAAUGCAUAAUAUUAAAA